rnacentral:rRNA from 1 species
GUUGCCCAGAACAGAAUCUCAGUUCAACUUUAAAUUUACCUAAUAACCCCCAAAUUGUAAUGUAAAUUUAAAAUAUAGUCUAAAAAGGUACAGCUUUUUAGAAUAAGGAUACAACCUUGCUUAGAGAGUAAAAUUAAACAAAACCAUAGUAGGCCUAAGAGCAGCCACCAAUUAAGAAAGCGUUCAAGCUCAACAAUACAGCCACCUUAAUCCCUAUAAUCAUAUACAACUCCUAACACACUACUGGGCUAAUCUAUUUUAUAAUAGAAGCAAUAAUGCUAGUAUGAGUAACAAGAAACAUUUCUCCUUGCAUAAGCUUAUAACAGUUAACGAAUACCCACUGAUAGUUAACAACAAGAUAAAGAUAAACCACUAAUAAAUAUUCUUAUCAAACCAAUUGUUAGUCCAACACAGGCAUGCAACAAGGAAAGAUUAAAAGAAGUAAAAGGAACUCGGCAAACUCAAACCCCGCCUGUUUACCAAAAACAUCACCUCCAGCAUAUCUAGUAUUGGAGGCACUGCCUGCCCAGUGACACUAGUUUAACGGCCGCGGUAUCCUG